rnacentral:snRNA from 1 species
GUCUCCUUCGGUGUGACAUACGAAAAAAUUGGAAUGAUACAGAGAAGGGCAUUAAUGUAUGUCUGGAAGAUUUUGCCAUGAUUCCCGGAGUGGUCGAUCACUCCAUUUGUGGAAAAUUUCCCUUUUUGGAUAUUUUGAUAUUUUGACCUGGUCAGUGUCCGGGUGAAAAUAUAUAAUAUUAUUCAGUUAGCAUGGCCCCUGCACAAGGAUGACACGCUUUCCCGGAGUGGUAGAUCUAUGGAUCUCAAUAUUUAU